AACGAACGCUGGCGGCGUGGAUAAGACAUGCAAGUCGGACGCUUGUAUUUUUGUAGCAAUAUGAGGAUACGGGAGUGGCGAAAGGGUGCGUAACACGUGGGUAAUUUGUCCAAGAGUUCAGGAUAAUUCGCUGAAAGGCGGAGUAAUACUGGAUGUGGAUAUUGACUGGGAACAGUUGAUUUCUAAAGCCGGGGACCGCAAGGCCUGGUGCUCAUGGGUAAGCCCGCGACCUAUCAGCUAGUUGGUGAGGUAAGAGCCCACCAAGGCGGAGACGGGUAGCUGGUCUGAGAGGACGACCAGCCACACUGGAACUGAGACACGGUCCAGACACCUACGGGUGGCAGCAGUCGAGAAUUUUUCUCAAUGGGGGAAACCCUGAAGGAGCGACGCCGCGUGGGGGAUGAAGGGCUUCGGCUCGUAAACCCCUGUCAUUUGUGAGCAAGUGUUAUUGUUUAAGAGAUGAUGACAUUGAUAGUAGCAAAAGAGGAAGGGACGGCUAACUCUGUG
rnacentral:rRNA from 1 species